AUGGACAGCAGCCUCCUCUGCUGGGUGAUCUUCAGUCUCCUGGGCACUGCACAUCUGGAACCUGGAGUCAGACAAGCCCCCAGCCACGCUGUCACAGAGGCAGGGCAGGAUGUGACUCUGAGAUGUGACCCUGUUGCUGGUCAUUCUUUUCUCUAUUGGUACCGACAGACCCUGGGAAAAGGAAUGGAGUUCCUGGUUUCUUUCUAUAACAAGCUUCCUUCAGAGAAGGCCGAAUUUUUCAGGGAUCGAUUCUCAGCUGAGAGGCCUGAGGGAUCCUUCUCCACCCUGAAGGUCCUGCCCACACAGCUGGGGGACUCGGCCACAUAUCUCUGCAGCAGCAGCUUAGGCACAGCCCCUCAGAGACACUUCCUGCCCUUGCAGAAUCUCCAGGGUUUCUUCCCCAGCUCUCAGCUGCUCUUUGUGCCUCAGGAGGGUGGGAAGUGGGUGGGACUGCAGGGGUCCAGUGGAGGUUAA